GUCCUAGCUGUAAACGGUGCACGUUUGCUGUAAGAGGAAUCGACCCCUUUUGUGGCGAAGCUAACGCGUUAAACGUGCCGCCUGGGGAGUACGGUCGCAAGAUUAAAACUCAAAGAAAUUGACGGGGCCUGCACAAGCGGUGGAGUAUGUGGCUUAAUUCGAUGCAACGCGAAGAACCUUACCUGGCCUUGACAUGUAGGUAGUAGAAGCCUGAAAGGGUGACGAGGUAGCAAUACCAGCUUACACAGGUGCUGCAUGGCUGUCGU
rnacentral:rRNA from 1 species